GAAACGCGGCACUUAGGAUCGUAAUCGUGUGCUCACACUAAAGGUACAUGGACGGGUGGUGUGUACACACAUUUAAAACAGUGAAAAAAAAGCACAGUUAAAGGAAAAUGUCAACACAGGUGCUAUUUUUUUUAAAAAGAAAAGAAAAUGAAACAUGGAAUUCACAUUGAGUGUGUUUGUACGGAGCCCAGCAGGUGUCACAGCAGAAUCUGCGACUGGACGUGAUGCGGAUCCCUCACACAAAGAGUAAACAUGGUUGGCAACGAGAAGUAUUUCUGACACCUCUCAACGGGACAAAAUACAGCACUUGGCAAAAACCAAGCAGUCGAAUUCCUCGACACCUGGGUCCAUUUGGCCUUCUUCUGUGCUUCAUUUUCUCCUAUUGUGAAACCAUCUUGUGCAUCAGCUCCUCUUUCAUUAAUCACAGACCACUGGACUCUGUCUGUUAUUCAUUUUGUCGCUAUACUUGAAGGUGUUGUCCAUCUGCCAUUCACACUCUGACUGAAUCCAUGUGAAUGAGGCACAAUAUCUCCCAACGGCACGCUUAAAUAUUGACCAUAUUUUGGAUCCAUGGUGUCUGGUUUGAGCAUUCCUUUUGGUGAAAACACACGUGCUUGGACUUAGUGUGGAUUUGGGACAGUGGUACGGCUUCAAAGGAGUAUAUGAAAUUCCUUGAAUCCCAUCCGAUCAGCGUGAUCAUCUGGUUAAAAAAGUCUGCUCUGUCUACCUCUGGAUCCCCUUCAAUCAUUUGGCUAACUGGGUGCUGUUUGGUGCUGUAAGUUCUGGGUGGUGGUACUCCAGAGGUACCCACAUUUAAAAAUGGCUAAAAUCCGUACAGCACACACCAAGAUAUCCUGAUUUUUUAGUCGCUAGUAUGAGUAAGGCUCCCAAAUUUCUCAAUGCUACAGUUCCCAUAAUGCAGCAUGAUGGCAUCUUUUGUUAGAACGUUGCUACAAAGUCAGCAGACUGCCCCUUUAAAAGGCAAUUUAACAUCACUAUGAGAACAGUGAUUUGCCGUUCUCCCUGGUGGACAGUCGGUCUCACCUCUGAACCUACCCAGGAUACCAACAGGUGUUGUGAGAAGUGUGCACCUGUAGCCACACCCAGCCAGUGAUGUCACAGCAUCCAGGAGUCCACCUGUACGUCACUGCAGCCAGGUGAGCGCUUAAGCCACUGGAUGUCAGCAAAGACAAGAUUUUCAAGCUCCUCUUCAAGCCUGCCUGCUCUCCUUCAUCAGCAGGACAGUGACUAAACAGAUUUCUUUUUUUUUUUAUCUGGAUCGCUCACUUCAGAUGGGAAAUGACUGGCAGCGCGGUAUGUAGAUGGCGUGUCACAUCUUCUAAUGUGACUUUGUGGAUUUUUCUCUCCCUCUAGCUUGUGCUUAUUUGGUCACUCUUGACACUUUGCGUGAUACUGAGUCGCGAAAAGCUGUGAAAAACAAACUGCGCAGCUCUCCCUUUCCCAGGCAGAGCUGCCGAUUCUCACCUUGCGUGUGCGUGUAACCAAAUGUGUCACGACACAUUGUUGCUGACGGAGUGUUAUGUCAACCCGAGAUCAAACAGUAGACCUGAAAGCUAAAAUGUGAUAGGUGGUAUUCCAGAAGGAGUUAUGUCGAAAUUCAUUCUUUUAGCGUUUGAGAUUGAAAAGCUUCAGAUAAAUGUCUGUAAGAGACGGAACUGAUCUAUACUUGUUGUUUUAACUACAUUGGCCUCGGUGUAACACCUUCAUGUUGCUCCGCUGUGAUGUCAGCGUCUGAUUGUGAGCCCUUUGUGUCACUUGCACUAAUUAAAGACUGCUGAAUAAACCGGUUGACACUUCAGACAUCAGCUGCUUCUUUAAGGCGUUUGUGUGCGACAGUCUGACAUUCACACCCACUUCAUGCUCUUGUGCUCAUGUUGUCCUCGUCUCUCUUUCAUCCUGUGUGUGUGUGUGUGUGUGUGCACACUUCAGCUUUUGUCUCCUGUGUGUUGUUUGUAGUCUGUCCUCUUUUCAAGUCUCCGCGGUGGAGACGAGGUCGCGCGGCUCCGGUCUGUUUGGGGACGCCUGAAGCUCGCGGAUUCAUAUUCUUCUGAUACGUUCACAAUCUAUCCAUCAUUUUAUUGUCUUAAUUACUGUAAUUUAGAUGUUUUUUUGUGAAAGUGAAAUUUCUUUAGUUUUUUCUCCGUAACAGAUUUUGUGUAUGUGUGUGAGUUUUUCCUUGUGAAAAUCAUGUGUCUAAAGCUGCUUUUGAAUGAAAUGAAGACAAGAACCAGAUAAAAUAACCUUUUAGUUCAUUGAUAAGUCAUUCCUGGGAUUUUAAGUUCCACCUGGAAACAUGACAGUUGAGUUU